rnacentral:rRNA from 1 species
UACGUAGGGGGCAAGCGUUAUCCGGAUUUAUUGGGUGUAAAGGGAGCGUAGACGGCAUGGCAAGUCAGAUGUGAAAGCCCGGGGCUCAACCCCGGGACUGCAUUUGAAACUGUCAGGCUGGAGUGCAGGAGAGGUAAGCGGAAUUCCUAGUGUAGCGGUGAAAUGCGUAGAUAUUAGGAGGAACACCAGUGGCGAAGGCGGCUUACUGGACUGUAACUGACGUUGAGGCUCGAAAGCGUGGGGAGCAAACAGG